rnacentral:tRNA from 1 species
GCCCUCGUAGCUCAGUGGUAGAGCAUUUCCAUGGUAAGGAAAAGGUCAUCGGUUCAAAUCCGAUCGAGGGCU